rnacentral:rRNA from 1 species
UAGAGUUUGAUCAUGGCUCAGGACGAACGCUGGCGGCGUGCUUAACAUAUGCAAGUCGAGCGGUAAGGCCCUUCGGGGUACACGAGCGGCGAACGGGUGAGUAACACGUGGGUGAUCUGCCUUGCACUCUGGGAUAAGCCUGGGAAACUGGGUCUAAUACCGGAUAUGACCUGCAGUUGCAUGACUGUGGGUGGAAAGGUUUAUCGGUGCAAGAUGAGCCCGCGGCCUAUCAGCUUGUUGGUGGGGUAAUGGCCUACCAAGGCGACGACGGGUAGCCGGCCUGAGAGGGCGACCGGCCACACUGGGACUGAGACACGGCCCAGACUCCUACGGGAGGCAGCAGUGGGGAAUAUUGCACAAUGGGCGAAAGCCUGAUGCAGCGACGCCGCGUGAGGGAUGACGGCCUUCGGGUUGUAAACCUCUUUCGACUCCGACGAAGCGAAAGUGACGGUAGGAGUAUAAGAAGCACCGGCCAACUACGUGCCAGCAGCCGCGGUAAU